UACAGAGGUCUCAAGCGUUGUUCGGAUUCAUUGGGCGUAAAGGGUGCGUAGGUGGCGCUGUAAGUCGGGUGUGAAAUUUCGGAGCUUAACUCCGAAACUGCAUUCGAUACUGCGGUGCUUGAGGACUGGAGAGGAGACUGGAAUUCCUGGUGUAGCGGUGAAUGCGCAGAUAUCAGGAGGAACACCGAUGGCGAAGGCAGGUCUCUGGGCCAUAACUGACGCUGAGAAGCGAAAGCAUGGGGAGCGAACAGG
rnacentral:rRNA from 1 species